CAAAAUAUAAUUUAAAAUAAAAUGUUAGCUUUGGGAGUUAAAAAUGUUUAAUAAACUGUUUUGA